AUUCAAAUAGUUUAAUAAAAAUAUUAGUUUGUGGAGCUAAGGAUGUAAAGUAUUACUUUGAAUA
rnacentral:tRNA from 1 species